AGCGGGCGUAGCAAUACGUCAGCGGCAGACGGGUGAGUAACGCGUGGGAACGUACCUUUUGGUUCGGAACAACACAGGGAAACUUGUGCUAAUACCGAAUAAGCCCUUACGGGGAAAGAUUUAUCGCCGAAAGAUCGGCCCGCGUCUGAUUAGCUAGUUGGUGAGGUAACGGCUCACCAAGGCGACGAUCAGUAGCUGGUCUGAGAGGAUGAUCAGCCACAUUGGGACUGAGACACGGCCCAAACUCCUACGGGAGGCAGCAGUGGGGAAUAUUGGACAAUGGGCGCAAGCCUGAUCCAGCCAUGCCGCGUGAGUGAUGAAGGCCCUAGGGUUGUAAAGCUCUUUUGUGCGGGAAGAUAAUGACGGUACCGCAAGAAUAAGCCCCGGCUAACUUCGUGCCAGCAGCCGCGGUAAUACGAAGGGGGCUAGCGUUGCUCGGAAUCACUGGGCGUAAAGGGUGCGUAGGCGGGUCUUUAAAUCAGGGGUGAAAUCCUGGAGCUCAACUCCAGAACUGCCUUUGAUACUGAAGAUCUUGAGUUCUGGAGAGGUGAGUGGAACUGCCAGUGUAGAGGUGAAAA
rnacentral:rRNA from 1 species